GAGAGGCGGUGAUUAGCAUAGGGGCGGACCCGCAGGCCAUAGCCGGGGGCGGGGAGAAAUGGCGGAGAAGGGGCGUGUUUACAGGAACCCGCACAUGGGACACUCUGUUCUACCCAGGAAACUGAAGCUCAGAGAUUUUGGGCUCCUAACCCAGAACACACAGCCAGGUGAAAGAGCGGGGAUUCUGCUCAAGACUAAGUCUGAGGUGGUCUGAUGGAGCAUACAAAAUCUCAACCCUACCUAUGCUCUUCUGAAAACAAAAUGAAACAAACAAUACAAAAACACCAGGCAUGAACAUGAUGCGUCUACUGCCAGACAAGGCCUUCUCUCUUCCUUCUUGCAGUAGUGCCAGGAGCACUUGUUGUGCUCUCAUCACUGGGAACCCCACUGCACCUAAGGCUCUCUUGCGGCAGACUGUCAGCAUGUGAGAACUGAGAAGCAAUGAGGAGGAAGCCAGUGGGCUCCAGUGGGACCUUGCCACCAGCACAGCUUAUGGCUGGCAGUGGCCGAAGAGGAAGGGUGGUAACAUGAAACCUUUGCAGAGGCAACACCCCUGUUCUGUCGCCUUCACGUGAGGUCUGGGCCACGCAAAAGUGUCUGGAAUUGGCAAGGUAAGAUAUCUUCGAUCAUCUUGCACUUUUACAUCAAAACACUGAGGUGAUCAGGGGGGCUCUUAGGGGAUACUGUCUGGGUUCUGGGUAAAGCGGGAAUCCAUGAGACGCCCCCUGGAGGAGUAUAUAUAGUCCAGACAUCUUCCUUAUGGGUGCUAGCAUACACAUACAAGUCACAGGAAGCAGCUGAGGAGAAGGGGCUCACAGGCCUGAGGGAACCUUGGAAGAACUGAGGACCAGGGUCAAGGGAAUGAGGCAGUGAGUGGCCUGAGGGAUGGGGCAAGGACAGGGACCAUAUCUACAUCCUCCCAUCUGGUUCAUGG
rnacentral:sRNA from 1 species